CAAUUUCUCUUUUUAUGUAAUGCUCAUGUAAGUUUAUUUUCAUUUCCUGCAGGUAUUUAUAGUCUGUUGCUUAACAUGCCACUGCUUGGCACUUUUUGAUAAUUACUUACACACAUUUUACAUCUUAGCAUGGUCCCAUCAAUUUUGAGACAACAAAAAGAGUCUUUUUUGAAUGGCGUUUCCAUCAGUAUGAACUUGGGAGAAUAAAAGGAGAAUUUGACAAGGGGUGCCCUGCAUGUGAUACAACACCUGUGGCUGUACAUAUUGAUGGCAACAAGAAACUGUAUCGUUACAACAAAGUUGGGAGAGGGAUCAGAAACUCAUAUUAUUCUGGUGGUAUCUUCGCUUGUGACAAAGAAGUUCAAGAUCACGUUUCCACUAUUCAGAACCUUAAAACUCAAGUAAGAAUAUUUUUACAUCUGUUCGAAAGCCUAAAAAUAGGUUUUCAAAUAGAAACCUAAGACCUAAUACCAGAGUAGCCAUAUGUGUGGAGUGUCGACAUUGAAAGCUGCCAAAAAUAAACCUGUUUCAUUUAGAAGUUUGGAUGAAACCGGCACAAUCAUGGCUUCCUGUUGACAUGGAAUUAUUCUUGCUGCAUUAAAUAUGUAUCAGGGAGAGCUCUACAGUUAUGCCCACUAUUUGCAAAUGAACCGUUUACAAAAUGUGUCCUUCAUAUGCCAGGAUAUCAUCUGUAAAUACUGGCCAUGGGCCUUAAAGAUUUCAUCAAGAGAACAGAAGUUCUCACUUGGGCAAGGAAAGCCUUUUUAGGAGUCCUACAUGCCAAAGGACAUUCUUGGUAUUGUCAGGUUUUGUAUGGAGGGCGGUGGCAAGAAGGAAGUGGCCUGACAUCUGGGGAGGAGGCAGAGCAAGUAUUUUCCUACCUUUCAAGAUA